CCUAAGGGUGGCUGCAGUGGGGAAUAUUGGACAAUGGGCGAAAGCCUGAUCCAGCCAUGCCGCGUGUGUGAAGAAGGCCUUCGGGUUGUAAAGCACUUUCAGUGGGGAAGAAAGCCUUGGGGCUAAUACCCUCGAGGAAGGACAUCACCCACAGAAGAAGCACCGGCUAACUCCGUGCCAGCAGCCGCGGUAAUACGGAGGGUGCGAGCGUUAAUCGGAAUUACUGGGCGUAAAGCGCGCGUAGGCGGUCUGAUAAGCCGGUUGUGAAAGCCCCGGGCUCAACCUGGGAACGGCAUCCGGAACUGUCAGGCUAGAGUGCAGGAGAGGAAGGUAGAAUUCCCGGUGUAGCGGUGAAAUGCGUAGAGAUCGGGAGGAAUACCAGUGGCGAAGGCGGCCUUCUGGACUGACACUGACGCUGAGGUGCGAAAGCGUGGGUAGCAAACAGGAUUAGAUACCCGUGUAGUC
rnacentral:rRNA from 1 species